GCUCCAGUGACAAGUGAGUCCAUUUGCGAGUCUAAACCUGUACUCGUGCAUGCCCGUCCGCCAGGGCGCGGACGCGAAGGGUCACAACCGAUCAAGUGAACCCCGCUGGUAACUCGGAGUUUCGGGUGCGGGCCUUGGAACCCGACUCGCCCGGAAGCUUCGCACCGACCUGUGGCACCGGGUGCUGCUCAGGUUUCUGCAGUGCCGUUCACACGCACACGAAAGCAAGACAGCGUCCCGAUGCGGGGUGUAGCUUAUGUACGCUAUGGUAGCGGCGACGUCUAUAGUGUUCAGAGCGUCCCCAAGAGAACGUCACCAGAAAACUUGUCUAAAGUUCGCACAAGCGCCAACAGUCGCAGCGCAGUCGUGUCCGAUAUCCACGGAACACUGGACUAGUCGCGCACGCUUCUCUCCGAACUGUGUUUUUAUGCAGGACCUGGGUAUUCGAGGUGCAGCGAUGAGGGCUUACUGAUUCCUAUGUCGUUUUAGGAUGAUUGUACGUCUUUCUGGAGUGGGUCCGGUAGCGCUUUGCCGUCGGAGCUCGUUACGACACCUGCGUGAAGGUGCUUCGCGACAGCCGCAAACAAGGGUUCGCAGAAUACGCGAUAUCACCAUUCAGUUCAUAAGGACGAAUAUCUGAUCUUCUCCAUUCUUGGUGUGACUAUUGAUCAGUUCAAACGUUGUUCAAGGAUUCGAUCUCUCUGGUUCUUGGCAACUUGUGCGCGAACCCAGUUGCAGCGCUGGAUUGUUUACGGAAACUACCUGGUAGAGUCAUUUGGCGACUUGUUCACCAGGUAUUGCCAAAGCGUCACUGGGAUCGAAACGUCAACUAUCCUAGUUUGUUUGAAGAGCAAAUCCAGUUUACUCUAUAUGGCGAUCGACGGAACGGCAUUCAACACCAGCAUGGCUAUUGCAAUGGGAUAUGCGAAUAUGUGUAACAGUCUACCAGGUUGGCAUGGAAAAAAAUGUUGGACUCUGACGGAAGCCUUCGGUGCGAUCGUUUACAGUUUCGAGUGCAUCAGCGCAUUGCAGGAAAUAUGCGUCGACGGAUCGAAAAUGAUCGACAUGAUCUCCAGUCUGGAUUUUCCCUGCAGUUGCUGUUUUUUUCAUGGACAACAUCGCGUUCCACAUACGCUCUGUCAAAUGGAACAGCAUGCACUUGAUGGUUCUAGAGAAAGCGUACUCGCCGAUGGGAUGUUUCAGAAGGUGCCCACGAUCCCAGGAUACGUCGUUGAGCGCAGAAACCGGGAAUGGCUUCCAGAAACAGCCUCUUGUAUCCAUCAAGGACACGCAGUGAGCAGUGAAGCAAGCGUGUACGUGCCAAAGAUCGGGAUACGAAAAGAGCGAGUGUGGUGAGUGUAUAGGAACUCCUGACCUCAUCCAUGGGUUACCGCUGCGAAUGGUGCACCUAGGCUGCUCGUAAUGAGGAGGAAUACGGCGAGCGACGUAGAGCUCACCAAGAUCAUCUGUUCAAGAGUGACGUAGGAAACUGCCGAAUGCGGUGAAAAAAUCUCCAUCAACACUGCCACCAGUUCGCUUUGACUGCUAGUCACGGAGUUGGAUCUGCAGGAGAGACCGACGUAUCGACAGCCCGGAGCCAUCAGAGAGGAUCAAGAGGCAGCCGCACAGAGAAAGCCUGCAAAGGGUGGUGGAGCCAGUGAGAGAUGGACGAGGCCCAGACUUGAGCGCGUACGCCCGAAUGAGCUCAGUGAAUUCCUUCUACUUCACGUCGACGUGCAUGUACUACAAAAUAAAGCCACAAGU